ACUGAACGCUGGCGGCAUGCCUUACACAUGCAAGUCGAACGGUAACGCGGGGCAACCUGGCGACGAGUGGCGAACGGGUGAGUAAAGCAUCGGAACGUGCCCAGUAGUGGGGGAUAGCCCGGCGAAAGCCGGAUUAAUACCGCAUACGACCUAUGGGUGAAAGCGGGGGAUCGCAAGACCUCGCGCUAUUGGAGCGGCCG
rnacentral:rRNA from 1 species